rnacentral:snRNA from 1 species
UGUCUACUAUCCAGCGAA